GAUCAUGGCUACGAGGACGAACGCUGGCGGCGUGCCUAACACAUGCAAGUCGAGCGGGGAUUACCGAAUGAAGUUUCGGAUGGAUUUUGGUAAUUCUAGCGGCGGACGGGUGAGUAACGCGUGAGUAACCUGCCUAUCACUGGGGAAUAACGCACCGAAAGGUGUGCUAAUACCGCAUGAGACCACAGAGGGACAUCCCACAGGGGUCAAAGAUUCAUCGGUGAUAGAUGGGCUCGCGUCUGAUUAGCUGGUUGGUGAGGUAACGGCCCACCAAGGCGACGAUCAGUAGCCGACCUGAGAGGGUGAUCGGCCACAUUGGAACUGAGAAACGGUCCAAACUCCUACGGGAGGCAGCAGUGGGGAAUAUUGGGCAAUGGGCGCAAGCCUGACCCAGCAACGCCGCGUGAAGGAAGAAGGUCUUCGGAUCGUAAACUUCUAUCCUUGGUGAAGAUAAUGACGGUAGCCGAGAAGGAAGCCCCGGCUAACUACGUG
rnacentral:rRNA from 1 species